UGAGAACUAUAGCUCCCUGCAGCCUCUCCCAUGUAAACAAGGUAUUUUCAGAGAAAAUACAGUGUUUACAUUGGAAGCUAGGAACACCUCCAGUUGCAGUCACUCAGACUGCCACCAGAGGGAUUUCCGAGUUGAUGAAUGCCUAAUUCGCAUUUGUCUUCACGCUUGGGUGAAGACAUCAAAUAUGCUAUCAGGAGAUAGGAGGCACUGUGAACGUGCCUCCUAUGUCCUAUAGUAACCCCGGUGCUUGUCAGGC